rnacentral:piRNA from 1 species
GAACUCAAACUAGCGUGGCCCUAGCCA